GUGGGGAAUAUUGGACAAUGGGGGGAACCCUGAUCCAGCCAUGCCGCGUGUGUGAAGAAGGCCUUUUGGUUGUAAAGCACUUUAAGCGAGGAGGAGGCUACCGAGAUUAAUACUCUUGGAUAGUGGACGUUACUCGCAGAAUAAGCACCGGCUAACUCUGUGCCAGCAGCCGCGGUAAUACAGAGGGUGCAAGCGUUAAUCGGAUUUACUGGGCGUAAAGCGCGCGUAGGUGGCCAAUUAAGUCAAAUGUGAAAUCCCCGAGCUUAACUUGGGAAUUGCAUUCGAUACUGGUUGGCUAGAGAAUGGGAGAGGAUGGUAGAAUUCCAGGUGUAGCGGUGAAAUGCGUAGAGAUCUGGAGGAAUACCGAUGGCGAAGGCAGCCAUCUGGCCUAAUACUGACACUGAGGUGCGAAAGCAUGGGGAGCAAACAGGAUUAGAAACCCGGGUAGUCC
rnacentral:rRNA from 1 species